AUUUGCAAUAAUGCGAUGGGAGAACGGCGGGAAUUGAACCCGCGCAUGGUGGAUUCACAAUCCACUGCCUUGAUCCACUUGGCUACAUCCACCCCUUAUCCAGCUAAAGGAUUUUGGGCUUGGGCAAAGUUCAUCAAGGUGACUCCAGGAAAAUGGCGACAAAAGAUGUUUUGGUUUCGACCCAAGGUAAGUAAUUAA
rnacentral:tRNA from 1 species